AUGAGCUAUAUGAUGAGAGGGGUAACACUUGAAUAAAAGCAUCUUCAAAUUCUGUUCUCCUGUUCCCAAUGUCCCUCCCCCACCAAAAAAAUGUUAUUACUGACAGUGUUCCUACAGAUUGAGUAUCCCUAUUUGGAAAAUUUGAAAUGGUCCCAGGCAUUUUGGAUAAGCGAUGCUCACUUGUCAGUUUUUCUCCCCUUGGAAGUAAUAAUUGCCAUAACACUGGCUGCUCUUGCUAGUCUUUUUGCAAACUUAGUAUUCUGAACAAUGAAGAGAAAACUCAUGAAAGUUGAGAUUACUUUCACUAGCCAUUAUAUGAAUGGUGACGUUUAUACGAAAGUUUUAUAAUAAAUAGCUGGUUUAAGUUGUGUUACUAAUAUGAAAUUGAUGGACUACAUGUUUGCUUUGACACAGAGAAAACCUUGUGUAUCAAAAUCUAAACUUUUCAUGCAGAUGCAUUUUGGAGGUGAUACUCAUAUUUCAGAAGUAAACCGAAUUCCAUAAAAGGAUGAGCAGUUCCUUAUCAUAGUUAGAUAUUCACAUAUUUUUACCCAAGUGAAGUAAGUUAGACCUACUUAAAGCAUUAGAGACCAGCACCAUUUGAAAGAAUCUGGUAUCAUUCACAUUAGGAUUAAACCUGACUUUACAUCUGUUAUCUAGAUAAAAUGAAUUAUAUAUUUACUAGAAAAAAAUGUUAUCAAGAGCCUUUAUGUCUUUCAGUUUCAGAUCAUGCUGUUAGUAGCAGAUGCUAAAAAGGCAAGUCCUAAAUGUUCUGGUGCUGUGACUUUAGCAUGCGAUUGCAUACUUGAUUGUAGCCAGCUUAAUAUUGUCAAAGGGAGGUUGAGAAAUUGAAACUAUCCUAAAAAGAUGACAUCCUGGCCUGUUUUCCACAACACAAAAAGUGACCUAUUAUUUAAAGUUUUUUAAAAAAACGAACAAAAUCCCACUUUUGACUAAUUUGUAUUUCUUUGAAGACUCUAUACAACAGGAAUACUCCAGUCACAUUGAUCAUGUGUCUCAUCAUGGGGCACAUUUACAUUUUACAUAGAGAUAUAAUUGAGCUAGGGUUUUAUGUAGAACCGAGUGAAGAAAUGCCUGAAAAAGCCUUUUUUUAAAUUUUUAAAUGAAUAGAAAUAAUACAAGUUUCAUAUAGGGCAAGCCUGGGUCUAGAUCUCAGCACCAAUGCUUGACUGAGUGACCCUGACUGACUUACUUAAGUACCCUGUCCUUCAGUUGCUUCAUCUGUAAAAGAGAAAUAAUUUCUACCUUGUAGGAUGGUUAGGAGGAUUAAACAAGAUAGUAAACCUGUGUCGUACACUGUCUAUUUCAGCCAGCAGGAAUUCAGUAAAUAGUAGCUACUAUUUUUAUUACUCUUAUGCAGAAUUUAAAAUCCCCUUCUGUUUAGAUAGAGAGGAUUGAUAAAUUGAGCUAUUUAAUUUCAGAUAAGCUAUUAGUAUCGAUUACUUUCUAGAAUCCUCUGAAGGUGUAAGUAUAUGUGUAUGGACAUUUGCCAUGUAUAUGUGUGUGUACAUAUCUCCCAGUGUUUGUACUUUGUAUAAAGGUUACAUUUGAUUAUUAUUCUGUAGUGUUUGUGUAUGGUUGAAAUAACUAUACACAUAGAACUCCAUGGAAUGACUUCUUAUGAAAAUAGAGUUCAUUAUUUUAUCCCUAGUCUGCCACCUUAAUAUGUCAUUGUCAGGAGAACUUUAAAAAAUAAAUCCAAGGUUAUGAAGAUAUUUUUCAGUCUGAUUACUUCAUUGGUGAUAAAUAUUUUAACCAAUAACAGUUAUAUAUGAAUAAUCAGUUUUCUUUUAUAUAUUUAUCAUGUUGGAUCAAGCAUUAAAUAAAAAUUAAUAUGUUCUAUAUGUUAAAUG